ensembl:lncRNA
GAGCCAAGAUGGCUGAUGAUCAUCACCAUGGUAACCCUGUUAAAGGUGAUAUGGGAAGUGCAUGUUUGACUAUGACUCAGCUGCAGAUGGCGAUCACAGAGGGUACCAUUUUGCAAAUAGAAGCUCUUUCUGAAAGCAUCAACAACCUCACAUAUCUGCUCAGCCGAGAUGAGCUGCGGAAGGAGAUGAGGCGUUCACAGACGGCGCUAGUUUGAAGGACGAUGACCCUAAGCUGUAGGCUGUCAAUCAACCACAAAGACCUGUAGUGACCUGUCUCACAGCUGAAUUGUACCUCAGCUCUCAAGCUAACACUGCAGCGUGGAGCUCCUUACAUUUACUUCUACUAGCCCCUGAUACCUCAAGUUAACUCCUGCACACAUAAGUACAGAGGACUGGGAAAUACAAACGGACCUACAUAUUUUGACAACAAUCAAAGGUCUUAUUUUUAUUUUCUAGUGUGCUGAAUUGAACUGUUAUUUAUACACUUUUUUUGUUACUGCUUUCCUUAAUUCCCUAUGCAAUGUAGCUUUUAAUGAGCAUACUGACCACUGUGUACUGUAAAUACUGUGUUGGUAUUUCAUUA